ensembl:lncRNA
AUGAAAUUUUUAAGUAGAAAGAUUGAAAUAGUAUUUACUUGUAAGCAUACUCCAAUAACCUUUCUUUUUUUUUACACCUUCAGAAAUCAUGUUUCACAGUGUAGACUUUCUGUUAUUAGAGACUGUAAAGAGCAGAAGUGUCUGAAUUCACUGGUGACACAUCAGAAAUGUAGAUUAUAUUCAUUCAUUAUUACCACAAGUCUUUUUCUUCCAUAUGGCCACAACAAGCAAUACAGCACAUAUCAAAACCAGACCUCCUGCAGUGAUGAUGAUGAACGUACCUCUUGGGCCGCAGCAAACCAGCAUUACCCCAACAGUCAAAAGUGUCUUUAAACAGAUACUAGCUCUGCUUUAGAGAUAGAAGCUUGUGGAAGUGUAUACAGCUAUGUUCAGUGAAGACACACGUAAACACAGGUCCAUAGAGCACCCAAACCAAUCAACACGUUCUCACCCUCAAUUCAUCACAUUCUGAUGCUUGGUCGGGAUCCUCUGGAGUCACGUUAGUGUCAUUUUUUGACAUGCAGGGUACUUCGUUGUGUUAAAUAAGAAACUUUUAGUGUAAAUAUGCAGGUGCGAAGGGCAUGGGAAUUUUAUCAUCAUGAUAAAACGAUGUAUUGGACAAAAAUUUAGCCACUACUGCAGAUAUGCUGGGGCAUGAUUUUUCAAUUUAGCAAUUUUCACAGCAAUUUUAUUUACAUUAAAUUACACUAUUUACACUUUUGAGCACAUCGGUGCUUGUGUGUCUCAUGACGGAUUUCAUCAAGCUAAAAUGCGUGAGUAUCUUUUGAAUGAGAAAUGAAAGCUUUAACCUUAUGAUUUACUUUGUUCUUCACAUAAAGAUCGCAUGGCUUCAGAAGACUUCGAUUGUAGUAUAAUGUCAUAAUAUUUGUAAUUUCAUUUUUACAGCAUCACACUGUGUCCACUAAGUUCACUCGAUGAAUAUUAGAUGUGGAUAGACUUUUACCUGUUCAUGUGAAGGAAUCAGCGCUAAAUGACAGACAUCAUCCAGCAUGUUAAGGGAAAUAAAGAGAGAAAGAGGAAGAUGACCUGACCUUUU